UUGUAUGUCUUUAUCUCUGUGACAAGGGACUGUUCAUAUCGGUAAACAUAAACGCUAUACCGUGUGUGCUAACUUGUUUGCUUUGUGUUGUUUAGCUGUUCAGUUUUGCCUAUUUGACGAAUUAUGCUAGUAGGUGUUUUACAUAUUUAGUUUGUGGAUAUCAAUAUGCCCCGUUUUAGCAAUCGAGUGUUUAAGGAAAGGCACAAUGAGUGGAAGAAGAAAUCUUGUUGUUUCGAAGGGAGAUGCUGCUCAGACUGCUUCACUGACUACUCUAAAUGAAUGUGAUAGAACUUCUUCCAGCAAGAAACUGUGUGACAGCAAAGAAAAAUUUGAAAACUAUGAAAGUGUCAGUAAUGAUGUGAAUGAAGUAAUUAACGUUUCCUUGCUCUCUAACAUUUUGAAACAUAAUGUAUCAUGCCAAGUUUGCAAAGAAAGAGGACUGGGAUUGAAAAUAACUUCACACAUUUGUUUGGCAUUUAAAAUGUUAUUGAAGUGUAACAAAUUUAUUUAGUCCUUCAAAUCCUCUAUGUAUAGAAUAUAUACAAGGAUAUUGGACAUGGUUAGGUAUUUACAAGAUAAAAAUACAGUUUGUAUUGCAAUGCUAAGGACUAGAUAGUUAGGUAAUUUAGCACAGCUUCUUAAAUACAACAAACAUCACAGGCAACAUACAAAAUAGAAUAUUAAUAAUGCAUCUUUAUUUUUGUUGUUUGGCUUUUAUUUAUUCUGUCAGACUGUAAAAGCAAUGAUCAAUUAAAUAUGCGUUUGCUUCAGCCUUAAAACUA